UAUGCAAUUUUAAAGAGGUUGUAUAUUUUAUUGGAUGGAAUGUUCUAUAAAUAUCUAUUCAGUAUAGUGGUUUGUGAUGUUGUUCAAGUUCUAUUUUUCCUUGUGAAUCUUUUUUUGGUUAUUCUUUUCACUACAGAAAGUGGGAUAUUGAAAAUUCAAGUUAUUAUUUUUAAAUUUUCUAUAUAUCUUUUUAAUUCCAUAAAUUUUAGUUUCAUAUAUUUUGGGGAUCUUUGGUUAGCAAUUUUUAGUAAUAAUUUUUGUCUUAAAAUCUAGAUUCCCAGAAAUAUAUUUUGCACUUUUCAGAAUCUGUUACGGGUAUCUCAUCUAUCAGCUUUUCCUUUUAAGUUUGCUGGUCAACUUGAUUGCUCCAACUUUUAUUGCUGCCACAGGAAGCUACAGUGUUAAAGAAUUAUCACUAAUUGUUUUUUCUAAAUGCCCAAAGGAAAAGUUGUUCAUCCUGGGUGAGGCCUGAAUUAAGUCAAAUGGAGAUAUGGCCUAUGAAUGCAAUUUUCCAGGGAACUGCAAACAGGUCAAUAGUGACAAUUUUCUAGAACUGAAGCUUUGGAGGAACUCCAAUCCUAUUCUUUGCUCUAAAAUGGAUGAGAGGUUGCUUGUGUUCACCAUGAUUGUGCAGCUGUGGUUUCUAAGGCUACUAGAGAUCUAGGGAAAGGGGAAUGGAAAUAGGACAAGUUACAAACACCAAAUGAUUUGUUGUACUUACCUAGAUUUAGCUAUUUAUCUUGAAUAAAUGUCCUUAGAUUGCUGCAAGCUUUUGGUUAGCUUCCAGAGCUCUAAGACAGUUGACUUUGACAGCUUUUGCCAGUGCUUUCAUUAUAUGAAUAGACUAAUUGUCCCAUCUUAGCACAAAGAAAUUCCAGCAAGUUCAGUUUUUAUCUCCCUAAGGAACUGUAUAGUAAUCUGUAAAAAUUUUGAUAUAGCCCAUCUUAGAGACCUUAAGCCAUCAUCAUUAAUAUAUUUGCGAAACAUUAUCAGGCCUGUGGAAAAGUCUGAAAGAGAGGAAUAUAUCUUGAUAAUCAGAGGAAAUUGACCCCAGUGAAAGAGAGAACAUACAUUAAAGAAAUUUUUUAAAUGAAAAGUGUAAUAAAAAAAGAAGGCAACAUGCUCCAAGAAAGAGCAGAUGAUAAAUGACACCUGGAUGCUACUGAAAGGCUGGAGGCUACCCUAAUCUUCUUUCUUCUGCAGUAGUUGGCUUGCUGAGCAUCCUCUUGUUGUGAGAGGGACAUCAAUGAAACAAUUUUCAAAGCUUUGCUUGUAUCACUUCUGGUAAAAUUCUGUUGGAUAAAAUAAGUCACAUUGCUGAGUCCCUGAGAGUAGGAGUGAGGAGAGAGGAUAAUUUUGGAUAAGAUUUAAUAUACUGCCAGCCAGAAAUGAUUACAUAUCUUUAAAAGUUACCCUAAAUGGUCUAAGUCUUGGACAAACAUAUAGAUUGUCUAGCUGGCAUUCCAUUUCUCAUAUCUGAAAGACACCUGACAUACAAAUCUACCUGAGGCCAGUUCAUCCUUAUCAUGGUCCAGGUAGAGGCAUCCCCACACAACUUAUCAUCAGCCUCAUCUAACAAGGGAGAAAUAAUUUUCAGGUAAUUUAGUCUUCUUCCUUAUAAUUAAUGAUGAAAGAUGAUAGACAUAGCUCAUUAGAACCAUCAUCUUGUUUACCACACAAAUAAACAGACCAUUUUCCUCCAGGCCACACUUAUUCGAUGGGUCUGAUACAAAGAGUGCUUAGUUUAUUGGAAGUACAUGGAUGGGUUAAAGAUAAUUUAGAUUGUUAGUCAUCAAAUUUCUCAUGUUGUAAAGUGCUUUUUCAAUAGUGCAGAAGGUAUUUCCUAACUAUAUUACAUUUUCUGUCCUCAAACAAUUCUCAUCUCUGUAUGUCCUGCCUAUAAGGAACUACAAAAAAGCAGUAAAAUAAGGCAAGAUGAUAAAUUGUGAUUAUUGAAGGUUUGUGGUGACAAUUUGACUUAAGAUAAAGUUUAAAUUAAAAAAAGUUAAAGUUUAACUUAUGUUUAUAAAACAGAUAGGGCAGAAACUUUUUCUUUUGAGAUAUUUAUAUUAAUCUAUUUUUCAAAAUUAAUUUGGCCUAGAAUGAGAGAUUGUGUUUUUGCAAGAUCAACUGUACUGACAGUAUAGUUUAGGACUAUAUAACACUAAAAUCAUCCAAUUAUUUAUAUAUCCCUAGGUAUAUAUACAUACGUUUAUCUCAAGGCAUGUUAUAUAUAGAUUUUAUGACUCAUUUAAUAGCUUUACAUGUCUUUUAUAUGCUAAAUAUGACAAAAAAUAUAUAUCAAAAGCAUGGCUGCUAAUAACCUUAUAAAGGUAUAAUUUAAAUGACUUUAAAUAAUUAGUCACUCUUGCAUUUGCCAGUAUCUCUUAAAAAUACAUAAUUAUCAGGUUGAUGCUAUAAUAACUGUCACAGUUACUAAUGGCAACCAAGAAAAGCAAUCUUGCAGUUCAGCAAAAAAAAAAAAGCUGAUAAGAAAAAUUUGGAAAAAAUGUUUGUCAGAUUACAUUU